GGCUGGUCCAGUGGGAGUGGGUUCUCAGAAAAUUUAUUAGUGUUUGUGUCACUGAAGUUUGUAAACCCCUGUCCACACUGCUGAGUUUGACUGGUUUAAA
ensembl:misc_RNA Y_RNA Y RNA